rnacentral:misc_RNA from 1 species
GAUGAAGAACGUAGCAAAAUGGGAUAAGUAAUGUGAAUUGCAGAAUUCAGUGAAUCAUCGAAUCUUUGAACGCACAUUGCGCCCGCCAGUAUUCUGGCGGGCAUGCCUGUUCGAGCGUCAUUUCAACCCUCAAGCACAGCUUGGUGUUGGGACUCGCGUUAAUUCGCGUUCCCCAAAUUGAUUGGCGGUCACGUCGAGCUUCCAUAGCGUAGUAGUAAAACCCUCGUUACUGGUAAUCGUCGCGGCCACGCCGUUAAACCCCAACUUCUGAAUGUUGACCUCGGAUCAGGGAGGAAUACCCGCUGAACUUAAGCAUAUCAAUAAGCGGAGGA